UGUGGCUGAUGAAAGUGAUAAAUUGUAAAUUUAUUAAUAGGUUUUCCUUGUUACUAGGUAA
rnacentral:tRNA from 1 species